AAGGAUUGGCUCUGAGGGC
rnacentral:snRNA from 1 species